UGGCCUCUCUCCUCUUUAGAUUGAGCUUGAAGCAUUAUGCCAAAGACUUGAGCUUGCAGCAAGUCACCAGUUCAGAAAUUUACAAAUUGAGGCAGACUGCCGCUAUACUUUCAUUAAUUGAACCAAACUCAUCACCACUUUAUAAUGCCUUUUUUUUGGAAAUGCAGGUAUUGGCUGAAGAUGAUGAGGAAUCCACCUAUUCUAUACAAUUUCAGAAAACGCAACAACAUCGCGCAUGAUCUGGCGCAACAAGGAGUUCAACAAGUCAUCAUUAAUCAGAUAUAUCUAGAAGUACCGUACUAUCUUAAAGAAGCUAUGCGUACUGAUAAAGAAGGAC
rnacentral:lncRNA from 1 species